rnacentral:rRNA from 1 species
AAAUUGAAGAGUUUGAUCAUGGCUCAGAUUGAACGCUGGCGGCAGGCCUAACACAUGCAAGUCGAACGGUAACAGGAAGCAGCUUGCUGCUUUGCUGACGAGUGGCGGACGGGUGAGUAAUGUCUGGGAAACUGCCUGAUGGAGGGGGAUAACUACUGGAAACGGUGGCUAAUACCGCAUAAUGUCGCAAGACCAAAGAGGGGGACCUUCGGGCCUCUUGCCAUCAGAUGUGCCCAGAUGGGAUUAGCUUGUUGGUGAGGUAACGGCUCACCAAGGCGACGAUCCCUAGCUGGUCUGAGAGGAUGACCAGCCACACUGGAACUGAGACACGGUCCAGACUCCUACGGGAGGCAGCAGUGGGGAAUAUUGCACAAUGGGCGCAAGCCUGAUGCAGCCAUGCCGCGUGUAUGAAGAAGGCCUUCGGGUUGUAAAGUACUUUCAGCGGGGAGGAAGGUGUUGUGGUUAAUAACCGCAGCAAUUGACGUUACCCGCAG